GAUGAACGCUGGCGGCGUGCCUAAUACAUGCAAGUCGAGCGAACAGAUAAGGAGCUUGCUCCUUUGACGUUAGCGGCGGACGGGUGAGUAACACGUGGGUAACCUACCUAUAAGACUGGGAUAACUUCGGGAAACCGGAGCUAAUACCGGAUAACAUUUGGAACCGCAUGGUUCUAAAGUGAAAGAUGGUUUUGCUAUCACUUAUAGAUGGACCCGCGCCGUAUUAGCUAGUUGGUAAGGUAACGGCCUACCAAGGCGACGAUACGUAGCCGACCUGAGAGGGUGAUCGGCCACACUGGAACUGAGACACGGUCCAGACUCCUACGGGAGGCAGCAGUCGGGAAUCUUCCGCAAUGGGCGAAAGCCUGACGGAGCAACGCCGCGUGAGUGAUGAAGGGUUUCGGCUCGUAAAACUCUGUUAUUAGGGAAGAACAAAUGUGUAAGUAACUGUGCACGUCUUGACGGUACCUAAUCAGAAAGCCACGGCUAACUACGUG
rnacentral:rRNA from 1 species